AUUGAACGCUGGCGGCAGGCCUAACACAUGCAAGUCGAGCGGAGCGGCGGACGGGUGAGUAAUGCCUAGUAAUCUGCCUGGUAGUGGGGGAUAACGUCCGGAAACGGGCGCUAAUACCGCAUACUACCAGAUGAGCCUAGGUCGGAUUAGCUAGUUGGUGGGGUAAUGGCACAACAAGGCGACGAUCCGUAACUGGUCUGAGAGGAUGAUCAGGCACACUGGAACUGAGACACGGUCCAGAAUCCUACGGGAGGCAGCAGUGGGGAAUAGUGGACAAUGGGCGAAAGCCUGAUCCAGCCAUGCCGCGUGUGUGAAGAAGGUCUUCGGAUUGUAAAGCACUUUAAGUUGGGAGGCGUUACCAACAGAAUAAGCACCGGCUAACUUCGUGCCAGCAGCCGCGGUAAUAC
rnacentral:rRNA from 1 species